GACGAACGCUGGCGGCGUGCCUAAUACAUGCAAGUCGAGCGGAACCUUUGGAGCUUGCUCCAUUGGUUUAGCGGCGGACGGGUGAGUAACACGUGGGCAACCUGCCCUGCAGAUCGGGAUAACUCCGGGAAACCGGUGCUAAUACCGAAUAGUUUGCGGCCUCUCCUGAGGCUGCACGGAAAGACGGUUUCGGCUGUCACUGCAGGAUGGGCCCGCGGCGCAUUAGCUAGUUGGUGGGGUAAUGGCCCACCAAGGCGACGAUGCGUAGCCGACCUGAGAGGGUGAUCGGCCACACUGGGACUGAGACACGGCCCAG
rnacentral:rRNA from 1 species